rnacentral:rRNA from 1 species
AGCAGCCGCCGCGGUAAUACGAAGGGUGCAAGCGUUAAUCGGAAUUACUGGGCGUAAAGCGUGCGUAGGUGGUGGUUUAAGUCCGUUGUGUAAGCCCUGGGCUCAACCUGGGGGCUGCAUUUGAGACGCGUAGUCUAGAGUGUGAAAGAGGGUCGUGGAAUUCCCAGUGUAGAGGUGAAAUUCGUAGAUAUUGGGAAGAACACCGGUGGCGAAGGCGACGACCUGGUUCAUAACUGACGCUGAGGCGCGAAAGCGUGGGGAGCAAACAGGAUUAGAUACCCGCGUAGUCCCUGUCUCUUAUAC